rnacentral:rRNA from 1 species
CCUGAUCCAGCAACGCCGCGUGGAGGACGAAGGUCUUCGGAUCGUAAACUCCUGUCAGGCGGGACGAAAGGUUGCCGGCGAACAGUCGGCGACUCUGACGGUACUGCCAGAGGAAGCCCCGGCUAACUCCGUGCCAGCAGCCGCGGUAAUACGGAGGGGGCGAGCGUUAUUCGGAAUUAUUGGGCGUAAAGGGCGCGUAGGCGGCCAGUCAAGUCAAAGGUGAAAUCCCUCGGCUCAACCGAGGAAUGGCCUUUGAAACUGCCUGGCUAGAGGCCGGGAGGGGGUAGCGGAAUUCCCAGUGUAGCGGUGAAAUGCGUAGAUACUGGGAGGAACACCAGUGGCGAAGGCGGCUACCUGGACCGGUUCUGACGCUGAUGCGCGAAAGCGUGGGGAGCAAACAGGAUUAGAUACCCUGGUAGUCCACGCUGUAAACGAUGGGUGCUCGGUGUCGCGGGUAUCGACCCCUGCGGUGCCUUAGCUAACGCGUUAAGCACCCCGCCUGGGGAGUACGGUCGCAAGGCUA